ACCAGCUCUAUAAAAUUAACUGCUCCCCCGCUGCUGAGUGCCCAGAAUUUGGAGACUGACUCCUCUGAGUUCGUACACAUAAUAAACUUCCACUCCGUACACCCGAAAGCAGCUGAGUUGUUUUCUAUAACAUUUUGGUUCCCUGACUGGGAAACCACACUCACGUGAGCAGACCUUUUUGCCUCUGGUGAGGGGGCGACCGGGGAGUGACCCAGAGGGAGCCCUGGAGGCCGAAGGGACGCUCUCGCCCUGGUGAUUUUGGGUCCCAGACACCCCGGGCUCCGUGGAAGUCAUCCUCCAGAACGCUCUUCAACCCCAGGCAGGCAGGGUGCAGACUGGAACUAUCCAGACCUGAGAAAGCGCCGAAUGACCUGCUGGAGCCCUGUAUCCAUGGAGUAUCUCCCAAGGGCUGGAGCUACAAGGACCAGACUUUGGGAAGCACUGGCUGACGGCCAACAGUCAAGAGGGUCUGAACGGACCUUUUAAUCUCAAACAUGGCCAAGCGCUGUCCCGUCAUUGGAAGGCUGGUGGUGUUCAACAGCAGUCUUCAGAAGGCAGUGGGAUGAGAGAUGAGUUGGGGAGCAGGGGCAGGAGAGAACUCUGUGGUGGCCUGUGUGUGUAUUUUGAGAUUGGCAGAGAAUUCGAGGUUGUUCUGGGUAAAACUGAUCUCACAUGUGAGAUCUGACUUUCUUUUUACUGUGCAUGUCAUGUUUUCCUUAAUGUUUAAGGGCAGAUAUAUCCUUCACUCCCCUUUACUGACAUUACCGUUUCCUGUAGACUAUGGCAUACAGUCCUAUAUUAAUGAAAGUUAUAAAUUAUAAAAUCUCCAUUCACUGUCAUCUAAAUCCUUCUAGAUUUUUCAGACUACAAGGCCUCCUGGAAUAACCACUUCCCUAAGUUUACACUGUGCUUAAAGUUCUAACAUCUUCAACUACCUUUCUAUUUUUAAUGUCCCAGAAUUUGAUGAGUCCGUUUGCUGAUUAUACGUCCUUUAUGAUUUUAUAGCAUUCCAUCAUGAUCUUUCUCAGUCUUUGGAUUUCCAUGGUGAAUAAAAAGCUUAUAUUUAAACAGAA